rnacentral:rRNA from 1 species
UACGUAGGGUGCGAGCGUUAAUCGGAAUUACUGGGCGUAAAGCGUGCGCAGGCGGUUUUGUAAGCCAGAUGUGAAAUCCCGGGCUUAACCUGGGAAUGGCAUUUGGGACUGCAAGGCUGGAGUGCGGCAGAGGAGACUGGAAUUCCUGGUGUAGCAGUGAAAUGCGCAGAUAUCAGGAGGAACACCGGUGGCGAAGGCGGAUCUCUGGGCCUUACCUGACGCUCAGGUGCGAAAGCUAGGGGAGCGAACAGG